UACAGAGGUGGCAAGCGUUGUUCGGAAUUACUGGGCGUAAAGGGCGCGUAGGCGGCCUUCUAAGUCAGACGUGAAAUCCCCGGGCUCAACCUGGGAAUGGCGAUGGAGACUGCAAGGCUAGAGUUUGGCAGAGGGGGGUAGAAUUCCACGUGUAGCAGUGAAAUGCGUAGAGAUGUGGAGGAACACCGAUGGCGAAGGCAGCCCCCUGGGUCAAAACUGACGCUCAUGCACGAAAGCGUGGGGAGCAAACAGG
rnacentral:rRNA from 1 species